GGGCGACUAGCUCAGUGGUAGAGCGCAACAUUGACAUUGUUGAGGCCGCAGGUUCGAUCCCUGCGUCGCCCA
rnacentral:tRNA from 1 species